AGUAGCAUUUAUUAGAUUGAAACCAAUGCAGCUUCGGCUGGUAUUGUGUUGAGUCAUAAUAACUGUGCGGAUCGCAUUUAAUGCGAUAAAUCAAUUGAGUUUCUGCCCUAUCAGCUUUGGAUGGUAGGAUAUGGGCCUACCAUGGCGUUAACGGGUAACGGGGAAUUAGGGUUUGAUUCCGGAGAGGGAGCCUGAGAAACGGCUACCACAUCCAAGGAAGGCAGCAGGCGCGUAAAUUACCCAAUCCUAAUUCAGGGAGGUAGUGACAAUAAAUAACAAUGCCGGGCUUUAUAAGUCUGGCAAUUGGAAUGAGAACAAUUUAAAUCCCUUAACGAGGAUCAAUUGGAGGGCAAGUCUGGUGCCAGCAGCCGCGGUAAUUCCAGCUCCAAUAGCGUAUAUUAAAGUUGUUGCAGUUAAAAAGCUCGUAGUUGGAUUUCUGAAUUGAAUGUCCGGUCCGCUUAUCUCAGAUGAGUGUGUACUUUAGAUAUUUGGUUCAUUUUUUGUGAGGAUAUUUAUCUGUCAUUAAGUUGAUGGAUUUAUAGACUUGCAUCAUUUACUGUGAAAAAAUUAGAGUGU
rnacentral:rRNA from 1 species